rnacentral:rRNA from 1 species
UAGAGUUUGAUCCUGGCUCAGGACGAACGCUGGCGGCGUGCUUAACACAUGCAAGUCGAACGGAUCACAUUGCUUCGGUUUUGUGGUGAGUGGCGAACGGGUGAGUAACACGUGAGUAAUCUGCCCCCUUCUUUGGGAUAACGUCGGGAAAUCGGCGCUAAUACUGGAUAUUCUGGUUUCCUCGCAUGGGGUUUCUGGGAAAGGUUUUCUGGUGGGGGAUGGGCUCGCGGCCUAUCAGCUUGUUGGUGGGGUGAUGGCCUACCAAGGCGGUGACGGGUAGCCGGCCUGAGAGGGUGUCCGGCCACACUGGGACUGAGACACGGCCCAGACUCCUACGGGAGGCAGCAGUGGGGAAUAUUGCACAAUGGGCGCAAGCCUGAUGCAGCGACGCCGCGUGAGGGAUGACGGCCUUCGGGUUGUAAACCUCUUUCAGUACAGAACAAGGCCUUCGGGUUGAGGGUAUGUGCAGAAGAAGCGCCGGCUAACUACGUGCCAGCAGCCGCGGUAAUACGUAUGGCGCGAGCGUUGUCCGGAAUUAUUAGGCGUAAAGAGCUCGGAGGCGGUUUGUCGCGUCUGCCCUGAAAUCUUCUGGCUUAAGUGGGGGCGGGGGAUG